ensembl:snRNA U1 U1 spliceosomal RNA
AUAUUUACUUGGCAGGGGAGAUACCACAACUACGAAGGUGGUUUUCCCAGGGCAAGAUUUAUCCAUUGCAUUCUGGGUGUGUUGACCCCUGUGAUUUCCCCAGAUACGGGAAACUUGAAUGCAUAAUUUGUGGUAGUGGUUUGUGCUCUCCCUGAA